rnacentral:rRNA from 1 species
GAUCAUGGCUACAGGGAUGAACGCUAGCUACAGGCUUAACACAUGCAAGUCGAGGGGAAACGACAUCGAAGCUUGCUUUGAUGGGCGUCGACCGGCGCACGGGUGAGUAACGCGUAUCCAACCUGCCCACCACUUGGGGAUAACCUUGACGAAAGUAAGACUAAUACCCAAUGAUAUCUCUAGAAGACAUCUGAAAGAGAUUAAAGAUUUAUCGGUGAUGGAUGGGGAUGCGUCUGAUUAGCUUGUUGGCGGGUAACGGCCCACCAAGGCGACGAUCAGUAGGGGUUCUGAGAGGAAGGUCCCCCACAUUGGAACUGAGACACGGUCCAAACUCCUACGGGAGGCAGCAGUGAGGAAUAUUGGUCAAUGGGCGAGAGCCUGAACCAGCCAAGUAGCGUGCAGGACGACGGCCCUAUGGGUUGUAAACUGCUUUUAUACGGGAAUAAAGUGAUGCCUGCGGGCGUUAUUGCAUGUACCGUACGAAUAAGGACCGGCUAAUUCCGUG